GCCUACGGGAGGCAGCAGUGGGGAAUCUUGGACAAUGGGCGCAAGCCUGAUCCAGCCAUGCCGCGUGCAGGAUGAAGGCCUUCGGGUUGUAAAGCGCUUAAGUACGGAAGGAAAAGGCGUUCUAAUAAAGGGAGAUAAUGACGGUACCGCAGAAUAAGC
rnacentral:rRNA from 1 species